AACGCGAAGAACCUUACCUGGGCUUGACAUGUUCGUGACCGGGGUGGAAACACGUCUUCCCUUACGGGCACGAUCACAGGUGGUACAUGGCUGUUGUCAGCUCGUGUUGUGAGAUGUUGGGUUAAGUCCCGCAAAGAGCGCCCCCCCCCUCGUAUGUUGCCAGCAUUAAGUUGGGGACUCAUGGGAGACUGCCGGGGGCAAACCGGAGGAAGGUGGGGAUGACGUCAAGUCAUCAUGCCCCUUAUGUCCAGGGCUACACACGUGCUACAUUGGCGUAUACAGAGGGUUGCGAUACCGCGAGGUGGAGCGAAUCUCACAAAGCUACGUCUCAGUUCGGAUUGCAGUGCUGCAACUCGACCUCCAUGAAGUGUGGAGUUGCUAGUAAUCGCAGAUCAGCAACCCCGCGGUGAAAACCUUCCCGGGUCUUGUACACACCG
rnacentral:rRNA from 1 species